UUAGCCAUCUGGUCAGAGUGAAAGAAGCUCAUAAAAGAGGCCCAAAUAAGGUCAAAGGUCAUCUGCUACAUGGGUCAAGGGGGCCUAAGAAGGUUUGCUGUAGUGGACUUUACUAAAAACUUGUCAGUAAGGAUCUUUGACAAAUUAUGGCACAUUCCAUGGCUUUUGGGGGAAAGUAUUUGAUUACAGUGUGCAGGAAUGUUGUUGAUAUUUGCAAAGUACCCACAGGUCCUCACCUGCACUAUGCACCACCUCAUGCUCUAGUACAAGGUCACAGAGAGGAGAGGACCUACACUAGUUAUUGUACAAGGGAACACCUUGAUGGAGGAAAGUGGAAUGGGUAGGUGAUGGAGCCUUGAAUGGAUACCUCUGGUACUGGACCCGCUCAUGCUGGGAGACUCAAGUGAAGGUAGCUGGUACUGUGUGAGCUGGUUUCUUCAAGGAGUCCUUCUAUUUGGAAGAAUCAGAUCCCAGUACUGACAAGUCUGUCAUUUGCUCUUUGGUGGCAGGCGUCUUGGUGUGUGGCUUUGCAGAAAACAUCUUCCUUGGUGGAGCCUCAGUAGUAUCUGCACCAGGAUGUGAGUUCUUAUUGCUUCCAUACCUAAGAGGAGACUUCCCUCCCCCAAAGCACAAACCAUACUAAGAAGAUAAGACAAGACAAUGAGCUACUAAGAAAACAAAAAGAUUAAAAGAAGCAACUGUGUCAGCCAGGUAGUGGACAUUACAGAACUCUAUCUCAAGCUGCAGGUGGUUGAAAAGGAACUGGCGUGGUGUGGGUCUACUCUUCAUCUGACCUUGUACUGGAGCACAAGAAGGCAUGAGCUGCAGAUGUAGACUCACAGGCAGUACUAAAAGCCUCUCUCUGGUCAGGAGUACAUGCAGGGCCGGCUUUAGGAAGUGCGGGGAAGUCCUGGGGAACAGGAAUUGGAUCCUGGUUCUUGUGAAGCCAGUCAGCUCUGCAACAGACUGAACUUUGGGGAGGAAAACCUACUUGAUUAAUAGUUACCUUUCUUAUUUGAAAAGUGUAGACUCAGGUUCGUGUUUUAUGAUUUUGUUUUAUAUUGUAACCAUUUGUUUCCAUCACUCUGUUGUUUCUAACUAACACUCCAUUAUUUCUUAAAUAAACCUUCUUUUGUUUUAUUACAAGUGCCAUGUAUUAUACAGGAGCAGGGGAUUAAGGUAAAACUAAUGAAUUGGGAGACAUUGGCCCUUUUGGGCGCAGAGGAUCUGGGAUUUGAAUGAGUAG